rnacentral:rRNA from 1 species
UACGGGGGGGGCAAGCGUUGUUCGGAAUUACUGGGCGUAAAGGGCUCGUAGGCGGCCAACUAAGUCAGACGUGAAAUCCCCAGGCUCAACCUGGAACUGCGUCUGAUACUGGUUGGCUUGAAUCCGGGAGAGGGAUGCGGAAUUCCAGGUGUAGCGGUGAAAAUGCGUAGAUAUCUGGAGGAACACCGGUGGCGAAGGCGGCAUCCUGGACCGGCAUUGACGCUGAGGCGCGAAAGCCAGGGGAGCAAACGGG